rfam:Serratia symbiotica str. Tucson genomic scaffold scaffold00202, whole genome shotgun sequence.
CUCAUCGCAAGGUGGGAUCUGAAGAAAGCUGAAAGCAAAAUGCUGGCCUGACGAACAGGAAGCGGCUUAGGCAUGACAGUGGGGUGAUGCGGU